AUCUUCGAUGGUCUAGUGGUCAUGAUUUCCGCUUGUCAAGUCCCAACGGGAUUAACAAGCGCGGGAGACCGGGGUUCGAUUCCCCGUCGGAGAGA
rnacentral:tRNA from 1 species